rnacentral:rRNA from 1 species
AACCUGCCCAAGAGAUCGGGAUAACACCUGGAAACAGAUGCUAAUACCGGAUAACAACAGAUGAUGCCUAUCAACUGUUUAAAAGAUGGUUCUGCUAUCACUCUUGGAUGGACCUGCGGUGCAUUAGCUAGUUGGUAGGGUAACGGCCUACCAAGGCGAUGAUGCAUAGCCGAGUUGAGAGACUGAUCGGCCACAUUGGGACUGAGACACGGCCCAAACUCCUACGGGAGGGCAGCAGCG